AUGCAGGUCAGGCUCGUGGGGUUGGUGAGUGACAAGGCGGGGAGGAACACGGAUCUGUCUCCCGCAUCGACUUCAUCAGACGGGAUGAUUUUUCGUGAUGAUGGGGAUCCAUUCUUCUUCCAUGUUGACGCCUCCGGUCCUGCCACGAUUCGUCUUGUCGUCCUCCCCGGCAUUCGCAUAGUUUCCAGUGAGGAAGCACUCACUACAGUUGCUUGGGUUUGGGAUAUGCAGGUCAGGCUCGUGGGGUUGGUGAGUGACAAGGCGGGGAGGAACACGGAUCUGUCUCCCGCAUCGACUUCAUCAGACGGGAUGAUUUUUCGUGAUGAUGGGGAUCCAUUCUUCUUCCAUGUUGACGCCUCCGGUCCUGCCACGAUUCGUCUUGUCGUCCUCCCCGGCAUUCGCAUAGUUUCCAGUGAGGAAGCACUCACUACAGUUGCUUGGGUUUGGGAUAUGCAGGUCAGGCUCGUGGGGUUGGUGAGUGACAAGGCGGGGAGGAACACGGAUCUGUCUCCCGCAUCGACUUCAUCAGACGGGAUGAUUUUUCGUGAUGAUGGGGAUCCAUUCUUCUUCCAUGUUGACGCCUCCGGUCCUGCCACGAUUCGUCUUGUCGUCCUCCCCGGCAUUCGCAUAGUUUCCAGUGAGGAAGCACUCACUACAGUUGCUUGGGUUUGGGAUAUGCAGGUCAGGCUCGUGGGGUUGGUGAGUGACAAGGCGGGGAGGAACACGGAUCUGUCUCCCGCAUCGACUUCAUCAGACGGGAUGAUUUUUCGUGAUGAUGGGGAUCCAUUCUUCUUCCAUGUUGACGCCUCCGGUCCUGCCACGAUUCGUCUUGUCGUCCUCCCCGGCAUUCGCAUAGUUUCCAGUGAGGAAGCACUCACUACAGUUGCUUGGGUUUGGGAUAUGCAGGUCAGGCUCGUGGGGUUGGUGAGUGACAAGGCGGGGAGGAACACGGAUCUGUCUCCCGCAUCGACUUCAUCAGACGGGAUGAUUUUUCGUGAUGAUGGGGAUCCAUUCUUCUUCCAUGUUGACGCCUCCGGUCCUGCCACGAUUCGUCUUGUCGUCCUCCCCGGCAUUCGCAUAGUUUCCAGUGAGGAAGCACUCACUACAGUUGCUUGGGUUUGGGAUAUGCAGGUCAGGCUCGUGGGGUUGGUGAGUGACAAGGCGGGGAGGAACACGGAUCUGUCUCCCGCAUCGACUUCAUCAGACGGGAUGAUUUUUCGUGAUGAUGGGGAUCCAUUCUUCUUCCAUGUUGACGCCUCCGGUCCUGCCACGAUUCGUCUUGUCGUCCUCCCCGGCAUUCGCAUAGUUUCCAGUGAGGAAGCACUCACUACAGUUGCUUGGGUUUGGGAUAUGCAGGUCAGGCUCGUGGGGUUGGUGAGUGACAAGGCGGGGAGGAACACGGAUCUGUCUCCCGCAUCGACUUCAUCAGACGUUACUUUACCAUUUCCAACUAACCAGCCAUUUGAAAGGCACACUAUAAUACUGUACUAUUCGGAUUUGCCUUGGGUCAGAAGUUGCACAUGCUUGUUACCUGAUGUUGACAAGUGCUCUGGUUCAUCAGCCCAUCUACUAGUGCUAGAUGUAGGAGGUACAACGGCCAGCGACCGAAACGACACCAAAAGCCAAAGGAAGCUUGAAGUCUGCUCCUUCUCCACCAGUAGAGAGGAGCCUCCUUUUUGGGUUCCGCGUGUCUGCUCCGACCCUACCAGCGCCGAUGCCAUGGAAGCCUGUCUUCCGGCUCUCAGUGAUUUGCUCCUCGAGGUGUAUGCCGUGCUGCACCUGAAUCCUGUUGACUACGAGCAGCGGAACGCCUUGUUUGAUGUAUUCAGCAACAUGGCAACUAAAAUCUUUGCAUCUACACGAUACUUUUGUGGAAGGUGGACUGUCGCUGUCAGAAAUCAGAAAUACUAUUUUCUUGGCUUUGGUCUUUUGGACAGUUGA
rnacentral:rRNA from 1 species